rnacentral:lncRNA from 1 species
AGAAGUCAGGCUCACUUGCUUUAGAAACCAAUUCUGUCAGAGAUGGUGUGAACCCAAGAACUAGGAAGACGGUUUUGUCUUUUUCUUGUAGCUGACAGACUCAUCCCUUCCUGCUCCUCCUCCUCCUUCGUCUUUCUCUCUUCUACUGUAUGAAAGGCACCAGGGAGGCACUCAGGUGGUGUUCCUGGGGGACCCAGUGGUGGAUCAGUCCCAGAUCCAUGUUUGGGGCUCAGAAGGCCAGGAGGAGAACCAGGUAGACCAGACUGGGUUGCAGCCAGCUUGGAAAAUUUGCCUCACCUUCCUUCCACCAUGACAUGGGCAUAUGAUUGUGCCUUCUCAGCCAGAGUUUCAAGGGACCCUGCUGGAGAUCACAGAGUCAAGGGCAGCUGUGACACCUGGCCCGACGCCUUUGCAGCUGCCAUCUCUGCGUCUUCUCAAAGAUCAUUUACUCUGAGGAAAGCCAAGAGCCAUGUUGUGUGAACACCAAGGAAGCUUGUGAAGAAGCCCUUGUGGAAAGAAAUAGAGCUGUUGGCUGACAACCAACCGGGAGCUGAGGCUGCCAACAACCCUGUGAGUGAGAGUAAAAGUGGAUUCUCCAGCCCAGUCAAGCCUUGAGAUGACUAUAGCCCUGCCUGGCAACUUGACUGCAACCUUGG